ACUACGCCUCUGCCUCUUCCUCUUCUCCGAUUCAAAGCGCAAAGAGCUCUGAUCGAUCAACUUCUCCACAAACGAAACUCCACUUUAUUUUCUUAAAAUAAUUUGGACGGUUCUUAUUCCUUGGAGAUUGAUGUCUCCUCACAUCUCCAAAAAUCAGCAGUUCCAUUUUCUAAUCGUGAUUCCCCAACUUCAAUUAUGAUUAUAAUGGCCGCUCCCUCAUAUUUAUUUGCCUCUCCCUCAUAUUUAUCAUCUCUUUCUGUGACGAUUAUAAAAUCCUUCCUUCCACGAUCCUAAUGAUCGAUAGAAUCCUUCCUUCCACGAUCCAAAUGAUCGAUAGACUAAAAGUCUAAAACCCUUGCAAGAUUCUCUAAAAUCGAAUAAUGACAUUUAAAAGAUCUGCAGAUGUUGUUAUUCUCCAUCUUAAUUCUUAAAAGACUGCAAAAUUAUAGUACUAUUUUUCAGCAGCGGAAGUGUAAGUGACAAUCACUUCUAGGAAACCAUCUCUAUAUCUAUGGCAACUGGCUUCAGCUUAAAAAAUCUAUAAGGCACAAUAGAGCACAAACUGUGUGAUCUGGCAUGAAGAGUAGGACUUGAAGUUGUUGACCUUCCACCUGAUAUCCGAGAGAGCCCACCACACUCGAGAAGGAGUGCUUCAAGAACCAUUCAAUGGCUCUAAAUUCAUACAUGCCAAUAGUUUUCAAGCAUAAGUUUGGGUCAUGUAACUGGUACACUGAUGCGUACUCCUCCAGGAUAUGCAGAUUCUUAGUGUUCAUUUUCUUCUCCUUAUUUUGAUUUAAGGGAACUGCAGUAAUCAUGAGGAAGAUGAUAGAGACAGCUUUUCCUUUAUUAGAGCUGGUGGCCGAAAAGCCUUUUAGCUAAGGCUGUGACAGGUGCUCAGAUUGGAGUUAUUGGUCUCAUAAUGGGAUGUGAGCAUAUAUUUCUCAUGAUUGGAAUCGCACACCUCCCUGCAUGGUCCUGUGAGGAAAAAUAGAUAUGGGCCCAGUUGGCUUCUCGGUAAGUUCCUGCAGUCAUUUCUAAACAACUCAUGGGUCUCUGAAGCUAUCUGCAAUUGGGAAUCGGUGUUCUUUACAUUAAAAUAAGAAGGUUUUCCGGGGAGAUCGAGUUGAAAUACCUCAUCGGCAAAACCCUGAUGGAACCAUUGUCAAAUGCAUCGGCUGAGAAAUCUCUGGCUACAAGGUGUUGUGUCAGCUCCCUACCUUAAACAGAGAGUGUUGCAGCCACAUGAUGUACAAAUAGAAGGGUUUGUAUGAGAAACAAAAGAAAGACUAACUCUCAGACUCAUCUGUUGGUUUGAUUGAGGAGUGUAUGUGUUGUAUUUAUCGUUAUGAUGGCAUGGGGUAGCUAUCAAGUUACUUCGUAUAGAUCAUGUAGAGGUUUCUCAUAUUCGGGCUAUAAAGUUUCAUGUACAUGCAGUAAGAUUCGGGAGAGUACGUGAAAGCUAUCUAUGAUUGUUAUUUAGCACUGGUCAUACGUAAGUAAGAAAAUGUAUUGGACAUA